UGGGUGUUAGAUCCUUCCUGUAGAGGAUCCAACCAGGUUUUAUUUUCCCCAUUUAUGGGGCAUGACUCAACUUGCCUAGCGUAUCUAUUAUCGGGAGGGUUGGAGGGAAAAGUAGUUUUCCUAGGGUGGUUGGCCUGUGGCAUUUCAAUAGCAAAAGGGGACCAUCUAGCAAGCACGUAUUAGGGUUUUGCCUAGAUCGAUCGUUCGAGGGGAUAACUAUGCUUACAUGGUGAAGGACGGCUAGAUUUAUGAGCAAACCAGCAAAGGGAUAACCAAUGCACUUACAUGGCGAAG
rnacentral:lncRNA from 1 species